GACGAACGCUGGCGGCGUGCUUAACACAUGCAAGUCGAACGGAAAGGCCCUGCUUUUGUGGGGUGCUCGAGUGGCGAACGGGUGAGUAACACGUGAGUAACCUGCCCUUGACUUUGGGAUAACUUCAGGAAACUGGGGCUAAUACCGGAUAGGAGCUCCUGCUGCAUGGUGGGGGUUGGAAAGUUUCGGCGGUUGGGGAUGGACUCGCGGCUUAUCAGCUUGUUGGUGGGGUAGUGGCUUACCCAGGCUUUGACGGGUAGCCGGCCUGAGAGGGUGACCGGCCACAUUGGGACUGAGAUACGGCCCAGCCUCCUACGGGAGGCAGCAGUGGGGAAUAUUGCACAAUGGGCGGAAGCCUGAUGCAGCAACGCCGCGUGCGGGAUGACGGCCUUCGGGUUGUAAACCGCUUUCGCCUGUGACGAAGCGUGAGUGACGGUAAUGGGUAAAGAAGCACCGGCUAACUACGUG
rnacentral:rRNA from 1 species